UUCGCAAUGCCCGAAAGGGUGACGAAGCGACGCCGCGUGUGGGAAGAAGGCCUUCGGGUUGUAAACCACUGUCGGGAGUUAAGAAGUGCAAGGGUGCUAAUAGUAUCCUUGCUUGACUAAGGCUCCGGAGGAAGCCACGGCUAACUCUGUGCCAGCAGCCGCGGUAAUACAGAGGCGGCAAGCGUUGUUCGGAAUUAUUGGGCGUAAAGAGCACGUAGGCGGCUAUGUAAGUCGGUUGUGAAAGCCUUCCGCUCAACGGAAGAACAGCAUCCGAUACUGCAUGGCUUGAGUGCGGGGGGGGAGAGUGGAACUUCUGGUGGAGCGGUGAAAUGCGUAGAUAUCAGAAGGAACGCCGGCGGCGAAAGCGGCUCUCUGGCCCAUAACUGACGCUGAGUGUGCGAAAGCUAGGGGAGCAAACGGGAUUAGAUACCCCGGUAGUCCUAGCCGUAAACGAUGGGCACUAAGUAGAGGGGUUUU
rnacentral:rRNA from 1 species